GGUAAUGUAGCUCAGUUGGUAGAGCAAAGGACUGAAAAUCCUUGUGUCGGCGGUUCGAUCCCGUCCAUUACCA
rnacentral:tRNA from 1 species